GUUUUUCUGCAAGCCAUUCAGCUGGAGAUACAGUACAGCAAGAGAAUGAAGAUCAGGUAAAUUGGUAAUUGAGACACUUUCUACUGCCUUGAAGUUGAAGGUAAAUGGGUAACUGAGACACUUUCUGCAGCCUUGUAGUUGAAGUUUCUACAGAUGUACUGUGGAGAGCAUUCUAACAGGCUGCAUCACCAUCUGGUAUGGAGGCGGGGGCUACUGCACAGGAUCAAAGUAAGCUGCAAGGAGCUGUAAACUUAGUCAGCUUCAACAUGGGACCUAGCUUUCAUACUACCCAGGACAUCUUCCAGUAGCGGUUCCUCAAAAAGGCGACGUCCAUCAUUAAGGGCCCCCAUCAUCUAGGACAUGACUUGUUCUCAUUGCUACCAUCAGGAAGGAGGUAUAGGAGCCUGAAGGCACACACUCAAUGACUCAGGAACAGCAGCUUCUCCAUCUGAAUCCUGAAUGGACAUUGAACCCAUGAACACUAACUCACCACUUUUUCAUUUCUAUUUUUGCACUACUAAUUUAAUUUAAUGACUUAAUAUAGAUAUACUUCCUGUAAUUCAGUUUUUUCUGUUAUUAUGUAUUACAUUAUCGUACUGCUGCAAAGACAACAAAUUUCACAACAUAUGUCAGUGAUACAAACUUGAUUCUGAUUCUGACAUGUUUGCAAAAUAUUUGGAAUGUUCAUA